GAAAAACGAAGGGGGGGCUGCCUCCGGGCGCCCAACCUCCCACCCGUGACUACCUAACACUGUUGCUUCGGCGGGGAGCCCCCCAGGGGCGAGCCGCCGGGGACCACUGAACUUCAUGCCUGAGAGUGAUGCAGUCUGAGCCUGAAUACAAAUCAGUCAAAACUUUCAACAAUGGAUCUCUUGGUUCCGGCAUCGAUGAAGAACGCAGCGAACUGCGAUAAGUAAUGUGAAUUGCAGAAUUCAGUGAAUCAUCGAGUCUUUGAACGCACAUUGCGCCCCCUGGCAUUCCGGGGGGCAUGCCUGUCCGAGCGUCAUUGCUGCCCUCAAGCCCGGCUUGUGUGUUGGGUCGUCGUCCCCCCCGGGGGACGGGCCCGAAAGGCAGCGGCGGCACCGUGUCCGGUCCUCGAGCGGAUGGGGCUUUGUCACCCGCUCGAUUAGGGCCGGCCGGGCGAGGGGGGGGCGUCUCCACCCAAAUUUUUUUAAAGAUG
rnacentral:rRNA from 1 species